CAUUUUCAUUUGAAAUUCAACCUGUUUCAAAGCCUUUUUUUUUGCUUUUCAAAAAGAAACAUUUUUAACCUUUAUUCCCCUUUAAUCUUUUUUAAAAGAACCUUAAAUGCUUUGGAGUAUGCCUAAACUCCUUCACUUUCCCCUCUGCUUUCCAGCCCCAAAUCCGAUGACAGACGAAGCCCUCCCACAGUGCGAGUACGACGGUUGUGAAGUUGUGGAGAAUGAGGGGCAUGGAGUAUGGGUAGAGAACGUGGGCAGUGGCUGAGGGGAGGCAGUAACUCUUUCUUUCUUUCUUUUUUUUUUUUUGCUGAAAAAUUAGCUUAGUUUUGGGUUGUUUUAUUUUGGGCUUAUUAUUUGUAAAUAUUUUUUUUUUAUUUUUUGGUUUUUGUAUAUGUAUGGGCCCGGGCUAAAAAUUGGGUCUACAGCUGCCCCUCUUUGCUCGUUGUUGUGUAACAAGAACGGAGCAAAUACCAUAAAAGGACCAAUUUUGCCCGGUCUUGCUGAAUCUUUGACUUCUUCGGUGCUCCUCUUCUUUAAGUAGUCUUACAGCAACUUCAAGAAGAUAAGGUUUGUGACUUCAACCUGCUCCACUGCAAUUUCAGGGAGACAAAGUCGGUGGCUAAAAUCUGCUCCAUAGCCGAUACAUGGAGAUAAGACUCACCAUCUUCGAUCUGCUCCAUAGCUGAUACAUGGAGAUAAGAUCUGUAACUUUCAGUCUGCUUCCUGCAACUUCAGGAAGAUAAGACCUAUGUCUUCAACCUGCGCUCUUGCUACCUCAGAGAGAUAAGGCUGGUGGCUAAAAUCUACUCCAUAGCCGAUACAUGGAGAUAAGACUUGCCAUUUCCGAUCUGCUCCAUAGCCGAUAUAUGGAGAUAAGAUCUGUAACUUUCAGUCUGCUUCUUGCAACUUCAAGAAGAUAAGACUAGUGUCUUCAACCUGCUCUCUGCAACUUCAGAGAGAUAAGGUUGGUGGCUAAAAUCUGCUCCAUAGCCGAUACAUGGAGAUAAGACUAGCCAUCUUUGAUCUACUCCAUAGCCGAUACAUGGAGAUAAGAUCUGCAAUUUUCAGUCUGCUUCCUGCAACUUCAAGAAGAUAAGACUUGUAUCUUCAACCUGCUCUCUGCAAUUUCAGAAAGAUAAGGUUGGUGGCUAAAAUCUGCUCCAUAGCCAAUACAUGGAGAUAAGACUCGCCAUCUUCGAUCUGCUCCAUAGCCGAUACAUGGAGAUAAGAUCUGCAACUUUCAGUUUGCUUCCUGCAACUUCAAGAAGAUAAGACUUGCGUAUUAAGCCUGCUCCACCGCAACUUCAGGGAGAUAAGGUUUGUAAUCUUCGAUCUAUUCUGCUGCAACUUUAGAGAGAUAAGAUCUGACUUCACCAAUGCUACUACACUGUCCUUUGAGACAUGUCUUGUAGACUCGGUGUCAUAUAUCCAUGCUUAUGUCAAAUAAUUAGGAUACUAUGAUCGAAAUAAAUCAAAUGCUCCUAACUAGACAUGAUGCUUUAUGAAUGUAGAAACGUCAUGAGAAUGAUUCUUUUUUAAAAUCUUAAAAUGGCAUCCCUCAUUGUUCAUCA